rnacentral:misc_RNA from 1 species
AAACCAUUUGAAAGGAGCAGAUCGUCCACGCCCAUCGUCUUCUGUUUUGGCUGGGCACCGUGUCCUUUACACGCCUACGUCUUCGCCCUUCCACUGUGAUUCUCUGUGCUUCCCUUUUUGUACUUUCCCCAUCGGCGUCAUCCACAUUCUUUUCCUUCUCUCCCACCAGUUCGUCUAUUGUGCUUUGUGUUCCGGGCUGAGCGCCUCGACGUCCACGCACUCUCCCCCGGCCACCUCUCUUUUCCCCUUGAUCUCUCUUUCUCCAGCUGCAUCGGGUUUCCCCUCUCUCUUCCUAUCUACCGCGUCGCCGCGCUGUGCUCACCACAGGCGUGCGUCGUUGUCGCGCUCGUUUCGUGCUCGUCUAGAUCUUCUUUUUCCACAUCUCUCUGUACCACUGUGCUUGCGUGCCUGCGCGUCUCGCCUCCUCCGCCUCGUGGUUUCCACAAGAGGGCUUACACCCGCGCACCCAUACAUGGGCACUUGUGCGCAGCCUACGCGCCCAAGAGAUAGAGAGAGACAGCUGAACCCAUAUCCAUAUACACAUACACACACGUGCGCGCCGCCUUCUUUCCUCCUUUUUUUUUAUCUCGCUCUGCCUUGCUGAGCGGGCGCGGAGGAGAUCGGCGAUAUCAUCGGUGGCCAUGCACCGUCUUUCCUCGUUGUCCGAGGGGGAUCUGUGCUUCUACCAGUCCACGUUGUACCAGCUGAUCCAGGAUGCUCCGAUCGAGGCGAAGCCCGGCCGUGAAAUGAUGCGCACACUCCGUAAGGAGCUGGUACGAUCGAUGGAGCAGGAGGAAUGCCCUGAAUAUUGCGCAGCCUUGGCGGACCUGUACAAAACCGUGACAGACACAUUGAUAUCCGCUGCUCACCGCAGUGCCCCGCACGAGCUCAUCAACCGCACCACGAGCGACUGCCGCAUUGUCACGGACGAGGACGAGUAUCAGUUCCACCAGGAGGAGGGCUUUUUCGACGACGAGGACGAGGAUGAAAUGGACUCCAACAGCGACAUCAAGUCCACCGCCAAGGACGCAGAGCAGAAGCAGCGCAAGAGGGAGGAGACGAAGCGCAAGCGUCGCGAGGAGGAGGACAUGCUCAUGAAGGAGCGCAAGGUCACGGACGAGAAGGGGAAGCAGUACCACACCCUCGGCCCCUUUCCGCCGCCGCGGCUCACCGUGCGUGCCCCCACCAAUACCUUUCCCAGCCGCAAGGCACUGCAGCAGCGCACCAUCAUCGAGACCCCCUCUUCCACGUCUUCGUCGUCGGACGAUGAUGAAGCGAUCAACCAGCUCAUUAGCAGCCGCUCCACCGAAGGCGGGGAGGCCGUGAACCACCUGACUGACUUUCUUCAGCCCCUGUCUAUCGACUCGCUCAAGAAAGUGGGCGAGAGCGCCAAGGCGAAGCUGCGGCCCUCCUCAACACACGACGAAUUCGUGUCCCAAAUCGUGAAGACGGCGGUGCGGCUGGGCUGCGAGAAGGCGUGCGUCCUCAUGGAGAAGCAGAAGAUCAUCGAAGAUAUGACGUCACACGUGCAAACGGGCCCGCUGCCUACGGCCGCCAGCAUCGACUUCUUGAACACGCUGCCGGACCACCUGAAGCAGUCGCUGGGUAGUGUUCUGGGCCUUCCGGAGGAGAAGCCCCCGGUGGAGGACAUGUGGGAGCGCAUGGUGGCCAUGGGCUUCCUCUCCGUGCUAACGAAUCUGCGCUUGAAACCGCUCAAGAAAAUUGCGAACGAGCUCAGCAUCGUGCUGCCGGACACCAACUCAACGGAGAAGUUCUGCGAGUUUAUCGUCUUUGCUGCCUUUCCACGCGAGCGCAUUCGCGCGAAAUUCUCCCGCGCCAAGCAGAAGAAGGUGAAGUUCACGGUGCCGCCGGACAGCAUGAGCAUCAAGGGCGACAUGGGGUUCGUGACGUUCCACGUCAACAACAUAUCGAUGCUGACAAAGGAAUCGGAGCGUCAUUACUCGCCGGAGUUCCACUUUGCCAAUCUCAAGUGGAGCCUGCUGUGCAUGACGAACAAGGAGUCGCUUGCGCUGUACCUCUGCCAGACCGGCAGCGUGCACUGCAAGUUCCUCAUCACGGUGGUGAACAAGGCAAACCCUGAUGACUCCAUCUGUAAUGAGGGCACGCAGAGCUUUUCCGCCAUGUCGCAGGAAAACGACUGGGGGUUCAACAACGUCAUCAAGUUUGCGGAGCUGCUGAAUCCUGACCAGGGCUUUGUCACUGCCGAUGACGACAGCAUCACCAUCGAGGUUGGCAUCGUGUUGGUGGAGCCUCUCAAGACACCCACUGCACGCGAGAAGGCGCCAGUCGCCAAGGAGAAGAAGAACGAACCCCGCGUGGACGAGGCGGCGAUGCUGCAGCUGCUGGCUGACGAGAAGGUAGAGCAGACGCGCAAGAAGCUGAAACAGGAGAUCAGCAAGACCAUCCGGGAGGAGGAGAAGACACGCAAGGACAUCACACAGAGGGCCAGCAAGGCGUACCACGACUUGUGCGAUCGCCUUCGCCAGGAGACGAAGCGCACCCAAAAGGAGGUGGCGGACCGCGAGCGCAAGGAGGAGCAGGAGCGGCAGCGGGAGCUCGACAAGAUCAAGCAGGCGCAGGAGCAGACGGCGGAGCUCAAGAGUCGAUUACAGUCGCUCAAGAAGGAGAAUGCGGAGCUGAUACAGUCGAAGCAGGAUGCCACACAGGCCGCCAAGGAGGCAAAAAAGAACAGCGAGCGCAUCGCCCAGGAGCUGAAGUUUGUCUUGGACAGGGUUCAAUCGACCCAGCAGAAGCUUCACACACAGGAAAAGAAGCUUGCAGCGGCCAAGAGUCGCUACGAGAGCAUCCUGGCCGAGGAGCCCGACACCCCCAGUCCGUCCGAUGAUGAGAACGACCUCAUGAGCGAGGACCUCACGCGCUUCAUCAACCUAAUGACGGACGAUAUGUAAUCAUGCACUGAGUGCUCUUGCGAUUGUGUGUGUGUGUGUGUGCGUCGUGCAUAUUCUCGGCGAUCGGCCGGGACGUCUGUCUUGCCACAAACUAAAGCCACGCAAGGACAUACAAACGCGCAGGCCUCUUGUAGCGCACCUUUCUUUUCUAUCUCUUUUGCCUACUUCACUGCCACCUCGUUCUUGUCAGCAGUGUGGCAAUGAGGACACCACUGCGUGUGCGUGGGCGCGUGUGCUGGUGUAUGCGUGCUUACGUGUGUGCUUGUUUCAGCAGUUUGUGUUAAGAGU